UCCUGGUUUCCCAGGCAGUCCCAUCAGAGUGCCUUCUUACGAAGUAGCAACUGAUAGCAAGGGUUGCGCUCGUUAUAGGACUUAACCCAACAUCUCACGACACGAGCUGACGACAGCCAUGCAGCACCUGUGCAAAUGUCUAGGGUUACCCCUAGAAAACUACAUCUCUGUAGCGGUCAUAUGCAUGUCAAACCUAGGUAAGGUUCCUCGCGUAGUGUCGAAUUAAACCACAUGUUCCACCGCUUGUGCGGACCCCCGUCAAUUCCUUUGAGUUUUAAUCUUGCGACCGUAAUCCCCAGGCGGAUCACUUAACGCGUUAGCUACGACACUAAUCUCGCAAAGCGAGACUAACGUCUAGUGAUCAUCGUUUACGGCGUGGACUAC
rnacentral:misc_RNA from 1 species